rnacentral:rRNA from 1 species
UACGGGGGGAGCAAGCGUUGUUCGGAAUUACUGGGCGUAAAGGGCGCGUAGGCGGCCGAUCAAGUUAGAUGUGAAAGUCCUGGGCUUAACCUGGGGACUGCAUUUGAUACUGAUUGGCUUGAAUUCGGGAGAGGAUAGCGGAAUUCCCAGUGUAGAGGUGAAAUUCGUAGAUAUUGGGAAGAACACCGGUGGCGAAGGCGGCUAUCUGGACCGACAUUGACGCUGAGGCGCGAAAGCGUGGGGAGCAAACAGG